AGUCCUGCUCUUUGGAUAAUUUUUGCAUUUCUGGGUGUUUUUAUAUUUUUGCCUGACUUCAAAUGUUAUAUUUUUACCUGUGGUAGACUGUUCAUACCACACUGGUGCUGCCUGCUUUUGCUGCUUCGAAAUCAAUUGAAUUAGCAUUUUACUUGCACCUCGUCUCCUGUCUCUGCCUCCUGGGCUCACGUCAACAACAGCCACACGAGUUCCUCACAGGAUCGAUACCAAAAUCCCCAGCAAAUACAUUUGCGGUACCGCUUUUUUUGUGAUUGUUGAUGUGACGGUUCAAACACCUGCCGCCACACACUGCGCUGCGCUCCGCUGAGCGCCCUUCUGGACACGCCCACGGGCGUUCUUCUCCUGCCGCGCAGCGCCACGCACUCUGUAAUCGUCACACCUGACGCUGAUGAAGACUCCACUGCCUUCUUAAGCCAGCACGUCCUGCGUUCCAGUGCCAGAACGUAGCUACUUGUACCUGUUCACUCCUCUUCAUUCCCUGGUUUUGAGUUGUGUGUCUCGUCUCCCUGGAUUCCCUCUGGACUUCUUGCUGCCUCCCUGGAUCUCGACCUUUCGCCUGCCUCCGGACUAUGACGCCUUGCUCCAGCCCUUGACCUCUUGCCUGCCCACGGACCUCCGAGCCUGCCUUGCCCUCUCUGGACUUCCGCAUCUUUCACAACACGCACCAUCAACACCUUCCGGUAACACUCACCAAGUAAUCGCUUCACAUAGUCACACACCACGUAUUUGAGUUAAUUACACACGUCACUCUCUUGUGUUAAUAAACACGCAGCAAGCUCAACGA